CACAGGAUACAUACCCAAAGAGCUCUUCAAUCUCCCAGAUUUAACCUUCAACUUGAGCUUAGCUAGGAACUUUCUUAAUGGUCCCCUGCCAAUGGAAGUGGGUCAGCUGAACAUGCUCGGUUUCAUGGACAUCUCUGAGAAUGAGCUAUCAGGGACUAUUCCUGUCUCCAUUGGUGACUGUUCCAGCUUACUAGGUCCGAACAUAGCCAAGAAUCGAUUCGAAGGCCUGAUCCCAGAAUCAUUUGGCCGAUUAGGAAGCCUGGAGAGCUUGGACCUUUCAUUUAAAAAUCUAUCUGGACAGAUCCCAAUUGGCUUAGAGAAGCUCGGGUUUCUGCAGAACCUGAAUUUGUCCUUCAACAAUCUCCAAGCAAAGGUGCCAGUUGAAGGGGUUUUCGGAAUCAUCGGCUGGGAAUCAUUGCAAGGAAAUAAGGAGCUCUGUGGUGACAUAAAGGAUACACAGAAGAAGUUGAGGCUGCCCGCAUGCAGCAAGAAUGGGUCUUCUUCUCUUAAGCUCAAAAUUGCUGUUCCAAUUGCUAGCUCUGUGGCACUUUUAUGUGUUCUAUUCUGUUUAAUAUCUAUAGCGAAUUCAAGGAAACGGAAAAGCAAUAUUGAAAGAAGUUCCUGGCAUGCUUCCUUCAAAGGUCGACGUAGGAAGAUACCAUACCAAGAUAUUUUAUCUGCAACAAACAAUUUCGACUCGAGGAAUUUGAUAGGUGAGGGAGGCUUCAGCUCGGUUUAUAAAGGAAUUAUUGGUGGUGAAUAUGAAAUAACCACCACCGUUGCCAUUAAGGUGUUUGACCUGAAAAAAAGCAAAGCUUCUAAGAGCUUUGCAUUAGUAUGCAAGACUCUCAAGGAACAUCAGGCAUCGAAACCUGGUCAAGAUCAUCACGUCCUGCUCAAGCAUCGACCACAAUGGAGCCGAAUUUAAAGCUCUUGUUAUGGACUUCAUGUCCAAUGGCAGUCUGGAGGAGUGGCUGCAUCCAAAGGAGAGCACGAGUAUGAUGAGAUUGAAUCUGCUUCAGAGACUGAACAUCAGUAUAGAUGUAGCUGCCGCCAUGGACUAUCUACACCAUGAUUGUGACCCACCUGUGGCCCACUGUGAUCUGAAACCCAGCAAUGUGCUCUUGGAUGAUGAGAUGACUGCUAGUGUUGGGGACUUUGGAUUGGCCAGACUUCUCUUUUCUUCAGAGAACCAGAGUAGCACAGUCGAACUAAAGGGAUCCAUUGGCUAUAUUGCCCCAGGUAUCAUUCCUAACUCCAUUGAUUUUGUAGAUAUAAAACAUGUUGAGAUUGAACCAGUCUGAUUUUGGGCCUGUUUUUAAAAUCAGGUUGAGUUUGGAUUCACAUCCUCAAACCAUUUAGAUAAAGGGUCCAAUUGGAUCGUGUAUCAGGGUAUGGUGUAGGCAGCAAAGCAUCGACAAGUGGAGAUGUUUAUAGUUAUGGAAUACUAUUGUUGGAGAUUUUCACAGGCAAGAAGCCCAUGGAUGACAUGUCCAAGGAUGGAUUAAACCUGAAUAAAUUUGCAACUGCAGUGUUUGAGAAUCGUGUUGUGGAAAUUGUUGAUCUGAGCCUGCUGGAAAAUGAUGAUGACUCUGAGAGAAGUAACAGCACUAGCAGCAACACCAACACAAACAGCAAUGAUCGUAUUACUGGUGGAAGUCAUGGAAACACGGAGAAUGAGACAGAAGUAGAUUGGUAGAGUAGAAAAGAAGUGUGUUUGGAAGCCCUGAUAGGAAUCGGUCUUUCAUGUGCGGCAUAUUCACUGAAGGAUCGUCCCAGAAUGAGAGAAAUUCUAAUUAAAAUGCACAACAUAAAAGAAUCAUUGUUUCAGUUUGGAGGGAAAUGAUUUUCUUUCAUGAUCAAUUCUUAUCAUGAUAGUAAUUUGUGGAGGAUCAAGACAGCCUUAGUUUUAGGUUAAUAGCUUUAAGAGAGUCUUUUUAUCUUGUGGACUUUCCUCCUAAAUAAUAUGAUGAUGACAACGAAAUUGUGUGGCUUUUCUUUUA